GAUACCAACAGACCGUCGUCCUCGCCAGCUCUGGCCUCUGGCGUCUCCCCCCUUGAAACAAGCCGAGUCAUGCGGGGGGGAAGAAAAGGAGGAGAAGAAGAAGAAGGAAUCGCAACAGAUCGGGAAGGAAAACGAGGGAGCUUUCUUACUUUGAGGGGAAUGUUGUCUGGCUCGAGGUGCGCAGAAACCUAGUGAGGGAGAUCUCUCAUCGAUCUAGGUUGAUCUCGGACCAGGCUUCAUUCCCCUCAAGUAGAGCUCCCGUUCCGCGCCGAUUCCCCUCGUGUUCUUGCCUCGCCUCGCAUGGUUAAUGCACAAAGGACGCAGAUUUUAAUAUAUGCAGGUAACUUGUUGUCAGGCACAGCCAGCUGGUUAACUUUUUUUUACAGGUCAGGAGUGAGUACGUUUGAGGUUUGAGCUCAACAAGUUCAUGUGCUAUGUUGAUUAGCAUUACUCUUUUUUGGAGAAGGGACAGGUAAUUCUGCAGUCUCAUAUAGAUCACUAAUAAUGUCACAAGUUUACUGUUAGAGAUUAUGUCUGUGUAUGCAAAAGAAGUACAAGCAAGCAAGACCAGUCCAUACAAGAUUUGUAUUCUCAUGACUGUUUUAGCUGUCUUCAACUUUCCAUGUGAUGCAUGUCCACACACGGUAUUACAGCUAUAGUACUUCUGUAGCCAAAUGACAAAAUUGAUGAAGACAGAGAAAUGAUCAUAACAUUAGGCAAAAGAAAGCAUGAAAUAAAACAACUAGUGAAUGAUGUGGUUCCUUUCGAGAGAGAAAAAAAGGAUGUGGUUCUUGUUUGUAUGGAAUACCAGAUUAACUUUCUUUUGAGAUGACACCGAAACUUUAGAGGCAGGUUUUGGAAAGAUGAAACUUUUUGUAAAGGCCAGGAAUCAACAGGCAACACAAAUUGGAGAAGCAGUUGAGCAAGACAGUCACGUGCAUGCGAUGGAAUUAUCCUUUUUAAGUGUGUGCAUCAAGUACCAUUGUCUUGUUGGAGACUUGGAGGAGGUGACCUGCAUGGUUAGGUGUACCAAAACCCUAGCAAUGGUUUAGGUGUCCUUGCUCUGUACACUGUACUAAAAUAUACUCCUUGGUGGAAUGGGAGUUUCAGGGUUCAUAUCUAUCCAUGGAUGCCAAUUUAUGUCUACAACAUACAUUGGUUAGAGCUCUGAACCAAAGAGAGGAUAAUAAAGUUUCUCACUCCAAAUAGAUUCAGAA